AUUGAACGCUGGCGGCAGGCCUAACACAUGCAAGUCGAGCGGAUGAAGGGAGCUUGCUCCUGGAUUCAGCGGCGGACGGGUGAGUAAUGCCUAGGAAUCUGCCUGGUAGUGGGGGAUAACGUCCGGAAACGGGCGCUAAUACCGCAUACGUCCUGAGGGAGAAAGUGGGGGAUCUUCGGACCUCACGCUAUCAGAUGAGCCUAGGUCGGAUUAGCUAGUUGGUGGGGUAAAGGCCUACCAAGGCGACGAUCCGUAACUGGUCUGAGAGGAUGAUCAGUCACCUGGGAACGGGGACCCGGUCCCGCCCCCUACGGGGGGCCGCAGGGGGGAAUUUUGGACAAUGGGCGAAAGCCUAACCCAGCCUUCCCGGGUGGUGGAAGAAGGUCUUCGGUUUGUAAAGCACUUUAAGUUGGGAGGAAGGGCAGUAAGUUAAUCCCUUGCUUUUUUGGCGUUACCAACAGAAAAAGCCCCGGCUAACUUCGU
rnacentral:rRNA from 1 species